UCAAAUAAAAUGCGGUCAUUCUCUUUCCUCAUUCAGUCCCGUUCUCCCUCCUCUGUGUAGGAGGUCUCUACGGCGGCGGAGCAACCUCAAACUUCAAAUAAAGAACAUCAAUCAACCUAUUUCUAAGCUCUGAACAUAAAUAUAACAAUGAAAAUCUCCAAUUCCUUAUGAAUUGCUCAAAUCAAAACACAAGCACGACAAAACCUAGGUAAAAGAAUUCAAAUUGAAUAAAGAUUUCAAGGAAUCAGAGCCUCAAAGGAGAGGGCUUUGAUUCCCGAGGUGAGCCUCUACAUGUUUGUAAGUGAAAUGACGUGAAGUGAGGAAGAAUCAAGGACCUACAUCACCGGAGAAGAUGACGGAGAUGGAAACAACAACGGUCUCGAUCAAGCCAUGCCUUAGCUUGUGAAGCACAUGACACCAAAGUUCUAUUAUGUGAUAGCUGACUUAAAUUGAACUGCUACGGAUAAAUGCUAUGUAUGCCAGAUUUUACUACAAUGUUAUUUUGCUGUUGUGAAUAGAUUACUGCUGAAUUAUUUGUUGCUAAAGACUGCUAACUGUUGCUUUCUGUUGUGGGUAAGUUUAUUGAUGUAUGGCUUGGUGUGUGUAAGACCCCAAAUUUGAUCCUAAGAUCCCUCAUGCUAUCUCAUCAUUUGCAUUGGCUUGGGAUCACACAUUGGCAUCCUCCUUACCCCUCAUUCAUUGGGUUUGCAUUGGGAGAUAUUACCAAGUACAUUUGAUUAUAUCAUACUUUAUUUUUAUUUGUUUACUAAUCAAAAUGCCAAAAAUAUGUCUAUAUAUAGAUUUGUUUCUUUUGUGGGUAGUGUGUGUAUCCACCAAUGCCUCAUCAAGCUCACAACUAGGGUUUGAGACCCUCACUACAAUGAGAUCAAUCAAGGGACGAUUCAAAAUGGUUUUAGACUUCAUAUAUGGAUCCCCAUAUCCUUCAUUUAUCACUUGGAUCAAGAAAUCAUCAAGAAUUUGAAGCUUGUUUGCCUUGGAAACCCUAGUUCAUCUAGGUAUCUUGUGUGACUUCCUCAGCAAGUUUCUUUAACAUUUGAUCAAAUAUUUCAAGGGAUACUUCAUAUUAUAUCAUAUUAUACAUAUAUUAUCCUCUAUGAGUCCCAAAUAUCAAGAAAACUUCAACUUUGCAAGUAGGUUCAAGGUGGUUGACCAGAGAAAGUCAACUAGUCAAAACUGGGGUUCCCUAGACCCUAUCUCCUACACUUUUUGUCAUAUGAAAAUGAUUACAAGAUAAAAGUUACUCUUUAUGACAUUACAAACAACUUUCAUGUUGGCAUCAAUAUCUAUUUUUGCUUGGAAAGUCAUUGUUUAUGGUGAACGAUUAUAGGUCAUUUUGUUAGUGCCUUAGUUAGGAGGUCAACUUCCAAGGACCAUAACUUUCUCAAUAUUUAUGAUAUGGAGGCCAUACAAGUUUCAUGAUAAA